CUCAAAAAGAAAAAAGAAAGAAAGAAAACGAAAUACCCCAUAAAACAUUCAAACUAUAUUGGAAAUAUAUAAAAUACCGGAGAAGCCCUUGUUUUGAUAUAAGUAGGUCUGAGUCAUUGACCAGUCUUUUGGAAACGUCAGUUCAAGUGGGCAAUCGUUAAAAACAGACACGUGUAGGUCCUGGUCACUUUGUUUUGACUUCAAACAAAAUUCACACUCAGGCACUAGUUUUUCUUUGGGUAUCUUGACUCAAAUCCCUCUUUGACUUUCUUGCAUAAAUCACACCCACAAUCCUAUAAUUCAUCACCUAUUAUUUUCAAUUUAUUUAAACUUAAAGACAGUUGUGAAGCAAUCUGAUGUAGAACAGUUCUAGAUUUUUAGGAUUUUCCCUGAAUAGUUUAUCUUUCACAUCUAAUUCAACAUGUCAGCAAAUCUUUUUGUGUAUUACUUCCAAAGCAUUUAACGUCAUUUGCAAGGAAACAAUUCUUUAUGCACUCACAUUUCAUCAGUUUAUGUAAUAUUUAAUUUAAUUAUAUGAUUACAAUGACAGUACACCUGGCAUAAACAGGCUAGGGACACACCCAAUCAACUCUUGGUAAACCGACAACUCAACCCAGAGCAGAGGUAGCUGAGUUCUUGCUUUUCUAGACCAGGGGUCAGCAAACUAUGGCCCUGUGGGCCUGUUUUUAUACAUCCUGUGGGUUAAAAAUGCCUUUUAGGG
rnacentral:lncRNA from 10 species